rnacentral:rRNA from 1 species
UACGGGGGGUGCAAACGUUGCUCGGAAUUACUGGGCGUAAAGGGCGCGUAGGCGGCCUUCCAAGUCCUGUGUGAAAUCCCUCGGCUCAACUGAGGAAUUGCACGGGAAACUGUUUGGCUUGAGUUCGGGAGAGGGAAGCGGAAUUCCGGGUGUAGCGGUGAAAUGCGUAGAUAUCCGGAGGAACACCGGUGGCGAAGGCGGCUUCCUGGACCGACACUGACGCUGAGGCGCGAAAGCUAGGGGAGCGAACAGG